rnacentral:lncRNA from 1 species
ACAAUGCCAAAGAUAGGAUUCACUGACAUUAUCUAACUUAGGAUGUUUAUUGGAUGUGUACAUUACACUAACAAAUCAUGAUAUUAUGUAUAUGUUAUAUUUUAAUUAUCCACACAUAAUUACAGUAUCAUUCAUAAUGAUAUCACAAAAAUCAUCCUUUAUUAUAAACUUGAAAUCAAGUUUAGCCAAAAGGCCUACAGAGAUGACAUUCAUCUAAAAAGAGAGAUAAUAAUGACAAUCAUCUAACAUCACACUAUUGGACUCAAAGACAAGCUGUAAAGUUCUCAAGGCC